UACGGAGGGUGCGAGCGUUAUCCGGAAUCACUGGGCGUAAAGGGCAUGUAGGCGGUUUGUUAAGUCCGAUGUUAAAGACCGAGGCUCAACCUCGGCACGCCGUUGGAUACUGGCAAGCUAGACGGUUGGAGAGGAAAGCGGAAUUACCAGUGUAGCGGUGAAAUGCGUAGAUACUGGUAGGAACACUCAUUGCGAAGGCAGCUUUCUGGACAAUUUGUGACGCUAAGGUGCGAAAGCGUGGGGAGCAAACCGGAUUAGAUACCCGGGUAGUCCACGCCCUAAACGAUGCAUACUUGGUGUCGGCCCGUUGGGGUCGGUGCCGGAGCUAACGUGUUAAGUAUGCCGCCUGGGAAGUACGACCGCC
rnacentral:rRNA from 1 species